ensembl:snRNA U6 U6 spliceosomal RNA
GUGCUUAUUUCCGCAGUACAUACACUAAAAUUGGAAUGAUACAGAGAAGAUUAACAUGGUCCCUGAGCAAAGAAUGCAUACAAAUUCAUGAAGCAUUCCAUACUUUC